rnacentral:rRNA from 1 species
AACAAAAACAUGGCCUUUAGAUUUUUGAUUUAAGGUCUAGCCUGCCCACUGAUUAUUUAAAUGGCCGCGGUAUCUUGACCGUGCAAAGGUAGCAUAAUAAUUAGUUUUUUAAUUGAAAGCUGGAAUGAAUGGUUGAACGAGAAAAAUACUGUCUCCUCCCAAUUUUAUUUAGAAUUUUAUUUUUAAGUUAGAAAGCUUAAAUUUAUUUGAAAGACGAGAAGACCCUGUGGAGUUUAAUAGAAUUAUGUUUUUCUCUUUUUUAGGCAUUGUUUAUUGAGGCAUAUAUACUUCUAUUUGAUUGGGGUGAUCAGAAAAUUGAAUAAACUUUUCUUUGAAUGUGGUCCAUGAAUUGAUGUUUAGUUGAUCCACUUUAUAGUGAUUAAAAGAUUAAAUUACCCCAGGGAUAACAGCGUAAUCUUUCCAGAGAGUUCUAUCGAAGGAAGGGU